GCUGUCGGCCAUUUUCAUUUUGUAAAAGUAGCUCUCAUGGGGAUAAAAGGUUGGAGACCCCCGGUCUAGUGUGACAGAUUCUUCUCUUCAUUCAGGUAAGCCUGCAGAUUGUUGCUAGGGUUAGAGAUCAUGUCUACCUCAGCUUUUCAAGUUGAGCGGAAGCCCGUAGAGGACAACUGUGAACUCACAGUCUCCAAGUCACUAAGCUGAAGCUUAUCCAGUUAAGCUCCUUCCAUCUGUGUGAGGAUAUAAAAUAAAGAUCGUUUCACGCUGAUGACGAUAGUCUUGCGGAACCUUGUGUGUCAUUUCUCAUGUGUCACCUUCACAAUUCGUACAAGUAGUUGCCUAACACCUUCAUUUUUGCGUUCCCACCAGUGUUUGGUCAUCCCUUUUAUUUCUCCUCACAGACUGGGAGUCUAGUCAGGCCGGACGUCUGUUACAAGUAAAACGUUUGGCUCUCUCAGGCACACAUGCCUUGCUUUAAGCACUAUAAUUUAGAAUGGUUGCACCCUUUCGCCCAGACCUCGACUUUUGGCGUUGGCUGCUGCUGCUAACCAGUUUAUCCUUCCUGGGAGCUGUCUUAAUAAAUCGGGUGUUUCGCUGUCAUAAUCUGCAAAUUACUGACAUUAAGCUUGCCGUUAAAGGCACUUAAUAUGAAGCAAUUGCUUCGAAACUUCGCACUAAACAAUGUCUUUAACAUAAACAGCGUGGCCUAAAGAGAUUUUUUGACAGCACUGGGGAGUCAUAACUUUGGUGCGUGCGGCACCAGGAAGCGAUAUAACAGCACUUUAAAACACGUUAAGCUUUUUCCCACUUGGUGCAUUGUGUUUUUCUUUUUUUUUAACUGCCUGAUGUCAGUAUUCUCUAACAAAGAGCUGCUUGAUCUUUAUGCCUUUUAAAUAUUUUUUGAUUAACAUUGGUGACCCCAAGCCUCAUUAAAUCUCACGUUAAUUGGUGAUUGGAAAUGAUGGUGCGUGCAUCAGCGGGCCUGGGAUUAGACACGCCAUCCAGGGUUGGUUCUUGAAGUGCAUCACAUGCUACCACGAUGGGCUUUGGACCCUUUGCCACCCUAAAUUGGAUUAAGUGAGCUUGUAAAUAUUUUAUAUUGUGAUUUUCGGGCAAAAUGUGCUUCAGAAAUGGAACAUUUCCAUAGCCUGAGUGAACACUAUGAAGAGGGUGUAGAUACAGUUGCCACCUUCCUUAUUGGUGUGCUUCUUGCCUGGCACUGGCACAUCAUCUAUCUUUGACAUGCAGUUCUGCCACUAUACACUGAUUUCCACGGGCAGCGUAUUCAUCUUGCCGUGUGUACUAACAGGGACUGCAUGUCUUGUGCAGAUUCUUUAUCACUACGGUGAAGAUGACAGGAGAAAAACGAGCUGAUUGGGAAUCAGCAUAUCGCUCAGACGCCAGCGAGAUCUAAUCACUUGGCACACUGCCCCGGCCCGUGCAGCAGCAGCACAUGAAAAACGAUCAAGACUAAGAGUUUCCUGUGCCGCGGCUAAAUGAGAUCUAGUACAUGAGCUCUCUAACCGCACUUUCUGCAUUUUACAGGCUGACAUCCGCUCCCGGGAGUUCUUGAGGAAGCACUUUUCCUGUGGAGAGCCCUCUGGAGACAGCUCUUCUCGGGAUGCUCAGAAUGUCACCGAGCACAACACCAAAGAGUGACCCUCAAGAGGUGAGCUGGCCCUUCUAGUUGUGAGAAGAGGAUUUGUGGAACUUCGGGCUGUCUGAGUGGACUGGGUGUCAUGGACAUGAAGCUACUGCACCUGUGUGGCCUUGACCAGUUCAUGCUGCCCACCUACCGUACCAAUGGACAAACCACUGAGGGCAACUGCUGACCAUCAGCCCUCACUCUUGCCUUUUGUGGAUCACAACAGUUCUGGCUUUACCAGUGAGUGGGGAUGACUUGCUGGGCUGGGAGUUGUAAUUAAAAUGUUACCACUUAUGACCA